GUGAGGAAUAUUGGUCAAUGGAGGCAACUCUGAACCAGCCAAGUCGCGUGAAGGAUGAAGGUCUUAUGGAUUGUAAACUUCUUUUGCAAGGGAAUAAAGUGGGGGACGUGUCCUCCUUUGCAUGUACCUUGCGAAUAAGGAUCGGCUAACUCCGUGCCAGCAGCCGCGGUAAUACGGAGGAUCCGAGCGUUAUCCGGAUUUAUUGGGUUUAAAGGGUGCGCAGGCGGGAUGUUAAGUCGGCGGUGAAAUUUUGCAGCUCAACUGUAAAAGUGCCUUCGAUACUGGCUUUCUUGAGUGUGGAUGAAGUAGGCGGAAUUUGUGGUGUAGCGGUGAAAUGCUUAGAUAUCACGAGGAACUCCGAUUGCGCAGGCAGCUUACUAAACCACUACUGACGCUCAUGCACGAAGGCGUGGGGAUCAAACAGGAUUAGAUACCCUUGUAGUCC
rnacentral:rRNA from 1 species